rnacentral:rRNA from 1 species
ACGGAGGAUCCGAGCGUUAUCCGGAUUUAUUGGGUUUAAAGGGCGCGUCGGCGGACUUUUAAGUCAGCUGUGAAAGUUUGCGGCUCAACCGUAAAAUUGCAGUUGAGACUGGGAGUCUUGAGUAAAGUAAAGGUUGGCGGAAUUCGUGGUGUAGCGGUGAAAUGCUUAGAGAUCACGAAGAACUCCAAUUGCGAAGGCAGCUGACUGGAAUUUAACUGACGCUGAUGCACGAAAGUGUGGGUAUCAAUCAG